GACGAACGCUGGCGGCGUGCUUAACACAUGCAAGUCGAACGGAAAGGCCCUGCUUUUGUGGGGUGCUCGAGUGGCGAACGGGUGAGUAACACGUGAGUAACCUGCCCUUGACUUUGGGAUAACUUCAGGAAACUGGGGCUAAUACCGGAUAGGAGCUCCUGCUGCAUGGUGGGGGUUGGAAAGUUUCGGCGGUUGGGGAUGGACUCGCGGCUUAUCAGCUUGUUGGUGGGGUAGUGGCUUACCAAGGCUUUGACGGGUAGCCGGCCUGAGAGGGUGGCCGGCCACAUUGGGACUGAGACACGGCCCAGACUCCUACGGGAGGCAGCAGUGGGGAAUAUUGCACAAUGGGCGGAAGCCUGAUGCAGCAACGCCGCGUGCGGGAUGACGGCCUUCGGGUUGUAAACCGCUUUCGCCUGUGACGAAGCGUGAGUGACGGUAAUGGGUAAAGAAGCACCGGCUAACUACGUGCCUGCAGCCGCGGUGAUACGUAGGGUGCGAGCGUUGUCCGGAUUUAUUGGGCGUAAAGGGCUCGUAGGUGGUUGAUCGCGUCGGAAGUGUAAUCUUGGGGCUUAACCCUGAGCGUGCUUUCGAUACGGGUUGACUUGAGGAAGGUAGGGGAGAAUGGAAUUCCUGGUGGAGCGGUGGAAUGCGCAGAUAUCAGGAGGAACACCAGUGGCGAAGGCGGUUCUCUGGGCCUUUCCUGACGCUGAGGAGCGAAAGCGUGGGGAGCGAACAGGCUUAGAUACCCUGGUAGUCCACGCUGUAAACGGUGGGUACUAGGUGUGGGGUCCAUUCCACGGGUUCCGUGCCGUAGCUAACGCUUUAAGUACCCCGCCUGGGGAGUACGGCCGCAAGGCUAAAACUCAAAGGAAUUGACGGGGCCCCGCACAAGCGGCGGAGCAUGCGGAUUAAUUCGAUGCAACGCGUAGAACCUUACCUGGGUUUGACAUGGAUCGGGAGUGCUCAGAGAUGGGUGUGCCUCUUUUGGGGUCGGUUCACAGGUGGUGCAUGGCUGUCGUCAGCUCGUGUCGUGAGAUGUUGGGUUAAGUCCCGCAACGAGCGCAACCCUUGUUCACUGUUGCCAGCACGUUAUGGUGGGGACUCAGUGGAGACCGCCGGGGUCAACUCGGAGGAAGGUGGGGAUGACGUCAAGUCAUCAUGCCCCUUAUGUCCAGGGCUUCACGCAUGCUACAAUGGCUGGUACAGAGAGUGGCGAGCCUGUGAGGGUGAGCGAAUCUCGGAAAGCCGGUCUCAGUUCGGAUUGGGGUCUGCAACUCGACCUCAUGAAGUCGGAGUCGCUAGUAAUCGCAGAUCAGCAACGCUGCGGUGAAUACGUUCCCGGGGCU
rnacentral:rRNA from 1 species